UUGAAUACUCACUAAUAUAUCCUCCUUUUGACAAUUGGACAAACCAGAUAUAGAAGUUGGUAUGAUGGGUCAAACAGAUCAACAAAUCAGUUCUCUGUUCUCACAGUUUAACUUUAUUUCAGUUUUCUAAAUAUAUGUCUGGUGAACUGUAAAUCAGGAAAAAUAUAGUAAAAGUAGGACACACUACAGAAAAAAUAUUAACAUUGUAUAUUAACUAAUAUCUGACCAAAUAUUAUACAGCUGAGCCAUUAAUUAGUCAUACACUGGUCAUGAAUCCAAAGAAGAUGUUUACAAUGAUUCACACCCUUAACAUGAUAAAUUUUACUAUUAUCUAAUAAAUGAGACUUCUUUUAGAUGAAACAAUUAGAAAAUAAUGCCAACAUUAUUCUUUAAUAAUAUGGAAACUACCCUAAGUGAAACAAAGUUUUCUUUAGAAAUAAGAAUAUAGUUAAAUAAAGACAGAAACAAUUUGUUGGGAGCCGUGGCACUGUCAAGUCAUCAGACGCGGUGAUUGCGAGGCCUGUGGGAAAGUACAAAAGCCUGGGCUAGAUUACCCCUCUCAUCGAGCCCGCCUGUGUGGCACCUGUUUCUUAUCACCCCACUAAGUUCCCGCCUCACAGGGUAGUCUGCCUAGCUAUUAAUCCUAUAUAUAGCCAGUGCCUCCACCCCCGAGAGAGAGAGAGAGAGACUGAAGCACAAAAGGAGCCGCGGGGAGCGGACCGGUAGAGGCUUCGGGGCAGACUGAAGCACGGAAGGAGCCGCGGAGAGCGGACCGGUAGAGGCUUCGGGGCAGACUGUAUAAGGAGAGAAUAAAGAAAAGCCUGACCACCGCCAGACCUUGUCGUGUGUCUUUCCUGCCGGCCGGGAGCGGACAUCGACAUUUGGAGGCCCGCACGGGGAUUGAUCAACCCCGAGACGCGGUGGUGGACUGCAUUCUCCUACACAGUGCUGCAGCUGCAGGACAGGAAUCGGGACGAGAGCCAAUGUGGGUCCCAGAGAGGUUGACGCGACAAGUCCCUCGACUGAAGAUCAGGCCUGUUCCACCAGAGGCCAACCGCAGACCCAACAACAAGAUGAGCCCUAAAAGAACUGCAGGACAAUCCCUUUUUGGGGGCCUGGAAUGGCUUGCUCCCCUAUGUGCUACCCUUGUAUACGCAUGGCUCGCUCGCAUGGCCUACGACCGCGUUUAAAAGUGACAGGCUUCCCACAUUCUCCUCCCUAGACAACAACAUGUAGCAGGGUGGGUGAGUCAAUGACGGGUAAGAGCGUGCCUCCCCAGCACGACUCAACCUAAGCCAGGCCCUACCCCGUUCCGCUCGAAAGCCGCUGGAUUGUUAGAUAAAUUUCUCUCCGAGGGGAUUCGUGGAGAGAAAUGAGUGCAUGCCUAUGUGCAACCAGGUUCCGUCCGGUUCAUUCCUGGCCCUAGAAAAAAGGACGAGGGCCUUAGGGCCUUGGUGGACCCUGGGACGGCCGACCAGGGUCUACGCUAAGGGCCUACGGUGGGCCUCAGUUCGGGGCAUAGGCCUCUGCACUCUAUCCAGGACGGGCUGCGAUGCACGUAGCCAUCAUUUAAAAUAAAAUAGGGGGAGAUGUUGGGAGCCGUGGCACUGUCAAGUCAUCAGACGCGGUGAUUGCGAGGCCUGUGGGAAAGUACAAAAGCCUGGGCUAGAUUACCCCUCUCAUCGAGCCCGCCUGUGUGGCACCUGUUUCUUAUCACCCCACUAAGUUCCCGCCUCACAGGGUAGUCUGCCUAGCUAUUAAUCCUAUAUAUAGCCAGUGCCUCCACCCCCGAGAGAGAGAGAGAG